CCCUUAGAUGUUCUGGGCCGCACACGCGCUACACUGAAGGAGGCAGCGUGUACUCCUGGAUCGAAAGAUUUGGGUAACCCGCGAAUCUCCUUCGUGCUAGGGAUUGAGGUUUGCAAUUAUCCUUCAUGAACGAGGAAUUCCCAGUAAGUGCAAGUCAUAAGCUUGCGCUGACUACGUCCCUGCCCUUUGUACACACCGCCCGUCGCUCCUACCGAUUGAAUGGUCCGGUGAGUUUUUUGGACUGUGGCAACGGUUUCGGUUCGCCGUACUGAUGCCGCGGGAAGAUACGCAAACCUUAUCAUUUAGAGGAAGGAGAAGUCGUAACA
rnacentral:rRNA from 1 species